GGUAGGGUAGCCGAACGACAGGCAGCGGGUUGUAGCCCCGAAGAUAGAGGUUCAAAUCCUUUCCCUAUCA
rnacentral:tRNA from 1 species